CUCCUCCUUUAUACAUGGGCCUUGCUGUUUUCGCACUACUAAGCCUCCUUUGUUGGUUGGCGAGCACGUUUACUAGGAAUCACUCUGACCUUUUUAAUUCAUCCAAUCAGUUGCCAUUGAUGAAUUUAUACAAGGAUGUGGUUUUCUUUCUCGUUAAGGCCUAAAUCGCCCGUUCCUUUGGCGAUCGUGGCAAUUAAUUAAUUAUUUCGAUGUGCUUCGGUAAUCCUAUGGAACAAGAUAAUCU
rnacentral:lncRNA from 1 species